rnacentral:rRNA from 1 species
GGAAUAUUGGUCAAUGGAGGCAACUCUGAACCAGCCAUGCCGCGUGCAGGAAGACGGUCCUAUGGAUUGUAAACUGCUUUUAUACAGGAAUAAACCUAUCCUCGUGAGGAUAGCUGAAGGUACUGUAGGAAUAAGGAUCGGCUAACUCCGUGCCAGCAGCCGCGGUAAUACGGAGGAUCCAAGCGUUAUCCGGAAUCAUUGGGUUUAAAGGGUUCGUAGGCGGUUUAAUAAGUCAGUGGUGAAAUCUCCUAGCUUAACUAGGAAAUGGCCAUUGAUACUGUUAGACUUGAAUUAUUGGGAAGUAACUAGAAUAUGUAGUGUAGCGGUGAAAUGCUUAGAUAUUACAUGGAAUACCAAUUGCGAAGGCAGGUUACUAUCAAUACAUUGACGCUGAUGAACGAAAGCGUGGGUAGCGAACAGGAUUAGAUACCCCAG